GCCGGUGUAGCUCAAUGGCUAGAGCAGUCGCCUUGUAAGCGAAAGGUUGUAGGUUCAAGUCCUAUCAUCGGCACCA
rnacentral:tRNA from 2 species